UACGUAGGUGACAAGCGUUGUCCGGAUUUACUGGGCGUAAAGAGCGCGCAGGCGGUCGAUCAAGUCGAGUGUGAAAGCCCCCGGCUCAACUGGGGAGGGUCAUUCGAUACUGAUCGACUCGAAGGCAGGAGAGGGAAGCGGAAUUCCCGGUGUAGUGGUGAAAUGCGUAGAUAUCGGGAGGAACACCAGUGGCGAAGGCGGCUUCCUGGCCUGUUCUUGACGCUGAGGCGCGAAAGCUAGGGGAGCAAACGGG
rnacentral:rRNA from 1 species